rnacentral:misc_RNA from 1 species
UCCUGGUUAACCCAGGCAGUCUCGUUAGAGUCCCCAGCAUUACCUGUUGGCAACUAACAAUAAGGGUUGCGCUCGUUGCGGGACUUAACCCAACACCUCACGGCACGAGCUGACGACAGCCAUGCAGCACCUGUGCAGAGGCCCCGAAGGGCUAUGCCAUCUCUGGAAUAUUCCUCUGCAUGUCAAGCCUAGGUAAGGUUCUUCGCGUUGCAUCGAAUUAAACCACAUGCUCCACUGCUUGUGCGGGUCCCCGUCAAUUCUUUUGAGUUUCACCCUUGCGAGCGUACUCCCCAGGCGGCACACUUAUCGCGUUAGCUUCGGCACGGCUGGGGUUGAGUCCAGCCACACCAAGUGUGCAUCGUUUACGGCAAGGACUAC